CAGUAGCCGCGGUAAUACGGAGGGUGCAAGCGUUAUCCGGAUUUAUUGGGUUUAAAGGGUUCGUAGGCGGACUUAUAAGUCAGUGGUGAAAGCCUGUCGCUUAACGAUAGAACUGCCAUUGAUACUGUAAGUCUUGAGUAUAUUUGAGGUAGCUGGAAUAAGUAGUGUAGCGGUGAAAUGCAUAGAUAUUACUUAGAACACCAAUUGCGAAGGCAGGUUACCAAGAUAUAACUGACGCUGAGGGACGAAAGCGUGGGUAGCGAACAGGAUUAGAUACCCCGGUAGUCCCUGUCUCUUAUAC
rnacentral:rRNA from 1 species